rnacentral:lncRNA from 1 species
CAGCUUCCCCUGGCCCCCCCAGCCGCCACGUCCUGAAACCAAAAGUUCCCGGGAUGAAUGUCUGGCUCCC